rfam:Clostridiales bacterium S5-A14a contig10, whole genome shotgun sequence.
UAAAGUCUUCAGGGCAGGGUUAAAUUCCCGACCGGCGGUAAAGUCCGCGAGCAUAGAACUUUAUCUUGAAACUCUUACGCUUUCACAUAUGAGAAUUCUAAAAUAAAGUUUGCAUGAUUCGGUGAAAUUCCGAAACCGACAGUAAAGUCUGGAUGGAAGAAGAUAGUU